UACGCGGUAGCCGAAAAGCGCAGAGAGUAGGCA
rnacentral:ncRNA from 1 species